UGGGGAAUAUUGGGCAAUGGGCGCAAGCCUGACCCAGCAACGCCGCGUGAAGGAAGAAGGCUUUCGGGUUGUAAACUUCUUUUCUGAGGGACGAUAGUGACGGUACCUGUUGAAUAAGCCACGGCUAACUACGUGCCAGCAGCCGCGGUAAUACGUAGGUGGCAAGCGUUAUCCGGAUUUACUGGGUGUAAAGGGCGUGUAGGCGGGACUGCAAGUCAGAUGUGAAAACCAUGGGCUCAACCCAUGGCCUGCAUUUGAAACUGUAGUUCUUGAGUGUUGGAGAGGCAGGCGGAAUUCCGUGUGUAGCGGUGAAAUGCGUAGAUAUACGGAGGAACACCAGUGGCGAAGGCGGUCUGCUGGACAGCAACUGACGCUGAGGCGCGAAAGCGUGGGGAGCAAACAGGAUUAGAUACCC
rnacentral:rRNA from 1 species